UAACUGUUUUGAAGUUUCUAACUUGUUUACUAUGUUGUUAAUGUUUUCUCAUUAAAUGGCUUUGUUCUAAGUGCUAUUAUGUCUUUGUCUUGCAGGUAGAUAAACUAGAAACCUCAGAGUCCCUAAGGAAAGAGGAGGAGCAGGCAACAGAGACGCAACCCAUCGUCUAUGGCACACCACAGCUGAUGCUGACAGCAGGCCCCAGCGUACCUGUGGCCCCCCAGCAAGCUUACGGCUACGGCUACCAGGCGCCGGCAGGAUACAGUCAGCCAGCAGUUCAGCCAGGCUUUGGCUACGGCAUGUAAAGACCACACCCCCCUUCUCUCCACACGCAGGCUGGAGCCUACCAUCCAUCCAUCUCCCACAGUCCUUCACCAGACCAUUGUUGUCGCUCUCUGCCCUCUACAGAGAGCGAGGGAUAAUACAGACAAACUUUUCUUUGUUUUGUUUUUUUUUCCCCUCUUUAAACUGUCAUGAAGGACUCUGUUUUAUUUCUGUUGUCAAAGAAAAGAUUGAAUCACAAAGAUUAAUUUUCUCACAUUCCGUAUUGACUAGAUUAAUUUUUCUUUUGUCUAUUUUAUUUGAAUGGGUUGAAAUGGUUUAUGUACAAUAGGGGGCUUGUGGGAAGAGCUAGUCCUCUUCUCAGUUAAAAAAAAAAAAAAAAAGGUCUGUUGUGAAGCAUCUGAUUUGCACUCUGUAGUGAGAAGAAAUUAAUGUAGAACCUUUUCCUUUUGAUGUGUGUGAGCAGCUUAUUCUGUCCGACUGUAAAAUGCAUUUAAUUAUUGUAUAUUCAGACACAAAAAAACGCUAUGUUCUUCUAUAUUUGAACAUGUGACCGCCGCUUCCAUGAUCACAAUCCUGAAACACUACGUUGUCCACCCCCAGACAUUUUCUUGAAGAAAGCCCAAGAGAGUAUUUUACAUACGAUUUACAGGAAAGUUUGAUUCUUUCCAGCAAAGCCUAUGCAGGACUCUCCAAACAAAUUUGCAUUCAGACAACAUUUCCAUGAGCUUUAAAUACUGCUCUAACGUGCAACCAUUCCACCUCCAGAGGGACUGCAGACCUGUUUGUGUUUGACUAACAUCCCCCAUGCCCCUUCUUCAUGCUGUGGUUUGUUUCUGCUGGAUAUCAUUUUAGGUCACUGUUAUUGAGUGUGCAGGAAAGGUUUUUUUUUUUCCAAACUUUAUUCUCCUCAUGUCCUGUUGAGGGUUGCCUUUAACCUUUUCAGUUGACCCGCUCAUCCAAUUCAGAAACAGUAUCAGAGGACUUGUGGUAAUUUGAAGUUUAUCAAAGGCUUGCGUGUAUACAGGAAAUCAAUCAUUAACUCCUUGGAACUUAUAUUCUUAUCUCAAUUACCGUAGAUUUAAAUUGUGCACUUAAGAUAGCUGACGUGCAUAAUCAGGAUCAUAAUGAAUGAAACAGCGGUUUUGUUUUCCACUUAAAAAUAAAGGCUUCUUGUUUGUCAA